AACACUGUUAACCUGCGGUACCUGCGGAGGGAUCGUUACAGAGUUGCAAAACUCCCUAAACCAUUGUGAACGUUACCUAAACCGUUGCUUCGGCGGGCGGCCCGGGUCCUUCCCGGCGCCCCUCGGCCCUCGCGGGCGCCCGCCGGAGGUAAACCAAACUAUUGCAUUGUAUGGCCUCUCUGAGUCUUCUGUACUGAAUAAGUCAAAACUUUUAACAAUGGAUCUCAGAUCGGAAGAGCA
rnacentral:misc_RNA from 1 species